rnacentral:rRNA from 1 species
AUGCCGCGGAACUACCGCCUGCCGUCGUACCACCGGCAGAGCCCGGCGAUCCGGUGCCUCAACUUCCUCUGCGCGGUGCUGCUCACGCUCGUCCUCAUCGCCGGCAUCAUCCUCUUCGUGCUCUGGCUCAGCCUCCGCCCGCACCGCCCCAAGUUCACGCUCACCGACUUCAGCAUCCCCAACGUCAACCGCCAGUCCGGCGCCGCCAACCUGCCCGUCAAGUUCGCCGUCAACGAGCACAACCCCAACCAGAAGAUCGGCAUCCACUUCGAGGCCGUCUACUACGACGACGAGCUCAUCGCGUCCGGCCCCGUCAUGUACCCCUUCUACCAGCCGCCCAAGGGCGACACGCUAGUGCAGGGCGAGCUCGCCGCCUCCGGCCCGACGCCGACCGACCCCGCGUGGCAGCGCUUCGCCAGCGAGGUGGGCGCCGGCAGCGUGGGGCUGCGCCUGGUACUCAACUCCACGGUGAGGUUCCAGGUGAAGGUGUGGGACACCAAGGAGCACCACAUGAAGGCGGACUGCGGGUUCAAGAUCAGCGGGGACGGCAGCCUCCACCAGGAGGACAGGAACACGCCCUGCACGCUCUACUUCUAG